CCUGAGCCGAAGUCGGAUGCUUAACCAACUGAGCCACCCAGCCCGUCACCGCGUUUCACCCUGAAUGGCACUGUAAGGCGAGUAAUUAGGAGUGGAACUCACCCGCGUGUGUUUGCAAAGAGAAUCUUGGAAGCCCGAGGCUUGGCGAGAGAAGUGAUGUCUCCAAAGGGGUUGUCGAUGUCAUCGGCAUUUGUGGACUGCACACAACCCCUGUUUGCAUGACAAGAAAACGUGUGUUUCUUCAUAAGAAAGAUGGAAGAAGAGAUAUAAAAAUUCAUUUUUAGAGGACAAUUUAUUUGUAAAUGGUUGUGGUGUACUUCAUAGACUGAAUUUCAAGGGGAUUUACCGGAAGACAGGCAUCACUGAGCAACUGAGACGGGUCGGGCUCUCCUUCCAGUCCCCGGGAGGGAAGUCUGAAGCCUCUGGACACGCCCCUCAGCCCCUCUUACCCGUCUGCUGUCACACCAGACAUAUUAAUGACAAAGACGUGGUCGUGAAAUACCGAGUGACAAGAGCACGAGGAGAUAAAACUUACAAAGUAACUGGCUUCAUGGGCCCCACGAAAGAUCUCGUUUGAAAUCUGUCCCAGAGUCCGCCAACCACCUGAAAUCGGCAUCAAAAUGACGUAUGUAAUGAACAAGUGGCUGUAAUUUCUCGUUUACAAGCUCCGCCCUCCUAACCGUCCCCCUGGCAUCAGCGGUAAGCCCCAGGCUCCCACAGAAAGCACUCUCCAAGCAUCCUUAGCACUUCGGGGAUUUGCCCCAGAG